rnacentral:tRNA from 1 species
AAGUAUGAAGCAAUAGAUUGCAUCUAGUUUCGACCUAGGCUUUAGGUUAUUAAUUACCCUUACUUA